ACUGAUGCCUCGUACGGCGAGUGAAGCGGCAAAAGCUCAAAUUUGAAAUCCUUCGGGAGUUGUAAUUUGUAGGUUGGGAGACCCCGCGGCUAGUGGCACCAAGUCCCUUGGAACAGGGCGCCUUAGAGGGUGAGAGCCCCGUAGGUACCACAAUACCGUCUUGUGUCUCCUCUCCAAAGAGUCGAGUUGUUUGGGAAUGCAGCUCAAAGUGGGUGGUAAAUUCCAUCUAAAGCUAAAUACCGGCGAGAGACCGAUAGCGAACAAGUACAGUGAUGGAAAGAUGAAAAGCACUUUGAAAAGAGAGUGAAACAGUACGUGAAAUUGUUGAAAGGGAAGGGCUUGCAAGCAGACACGGCCUUCGUGCCGGGCCAGCAUCGGUUGCUAGGGGUGGAUAAGGAACAAGGAAUGUAGCUCCUCGGAGUAUUAUAGCCUUGCGCGAUACACCCACUGGCGACCGAGGCCUGCGGUAUUCCUACCUAGGAUGCUGGCGUAAUGGUUGCAAGCCGCCCGUCUAAAA
rnacentral:rRNA from 1 species